CGCGGUUUUAGGCAGAGCGAAGGAGCCCCCUGCUGGCCAGACGCGGCAGGCGCGGCGACCCUGCUCCGGGUUUCCUCCACCCGGCGGCCGCGGCCCCGCCCUGACCCACCUCGACCCUCCCACGCCCCCGGCGCUGGGGCGUGUCCAGAGACACAGAAAACAAAACAAAACAAAGCGCCAAAAGCCACUCUCACCUGUCGACUGCUCAAAGGUUCAAGCUCUGUCAUGAAUGUAGUCUUCACCACCACCACCAAGACCAGCUGGCAGACCGAAGUAGUUUCCCAUGUGCUCAUGAAAGAAUGGGUGUUGUAACAUAGCUUUCCUAGAAGCAAAUACUGUUAAGCUUUUGCUUAUCUAAACAUGUUGGCCAGGAGGAGGUUAAAC
rnacentral:lncRNA from 1 species